UAGAGUUGAUCCAUGGCUCAGAUUGAACGCUGGCGGCAGGCCUAACACAUGCAAGUCGAGCGGUAGAGAGAAGCUUGCUUCUCUUGAGAGCGGCGGACGGGUGAGUAAUGCCUAGGAAUCUGCCUGGUAGUGGGGGAUAACGUUCGGAAACGRACGCUAAUACCGCAUACGUCCUACGGGAGAAAGCAGGGGACCUUCGGGCCUUGCGCUAUCAGAUGAGCCUAGGUCGGAUUAGCUAGUUGGUGAGGUAAUGGCUCACCAAGGCSACGAUCCGUAACUGGUCUGAGAGGAUGAUCAGUCACACUGGAACUGAGACACGGUCCAGACUCCUACGGGAGGCAGCAGUGGGGAAUAUUGGACAAUGGGCGAAAGCCUGAUCCAGCCAUGCCGCGUGUGUGAAGAAGGUCUUCGGAUUGUAAAGCACUUUAAGUUGGGAGGAAGGGCAGUUACCUAAUACGUAUCUGUUUGACGUACCGACAGAAAAGCACCGG
rnacentral:rRNA from 1 species